rnacentral:lncRNA from 1 species
UUGACUCAUCCCAGAUACCUACGGUAUCAAAAGGAUUGAGCUCUGGUGGGACUCUUUCCGUGUUAUCGAGACCUAGGUGACUUGGUAUGCAGGUGUAUCAGUAUCACCCAAGAAUUUUCGUACACAUCUGGCCGUUGCGAGUAGUACAGCUUUCUGCAUGGCCUUGUAAAUAUGUUAUAUACGAGAUAAUGCAAUAUUAGACUUACAUUAGUUUCAUAAACAUUAGUAGUCUAGUUCUCGACAGCUUGUCUACCAGGGGCUUCACCAGGUGUUUCGUCCACCAUAGAUUUCUGCAAAAUGAUGACGGCUCAGCUUUUUAGAGUUUUCUGGUUCGUUUCUGAAUAAAGGGUUGGAAUCCACUGUUCUUAGUUAGGUUUUCCGUGCUCUGCUAACGUUUCCAGAUCCUACUGACUGAGGCAAUUCUUAUAUCAAUAAGCACUUUUUAGUUUUUAUAAAAAUAUUUAUUUUAAAAAUCAAAGUUACUUGCUAUAAAUCUAAAUAUUUGUUAACGAAUAAUUAAUCCCGAUAGAUGGUUUUAUGCAAUUAACAAAAUGGAUUGUGAGAAUGUGUGGACGUCGUAGUUCCGCUGACAUUGUUGACACUGGAUGCGUCGGUCAUCGGUUCGUCAUCGGUUCAGAUGACCGACACCUGAUACUAAUGGGAAAUGGGUACUUAAUCAUUAAGGCUACUUGGUUGCUAUAAACGAAUAUAACAUAUAUCAUGUAAUACAAUCUUGGACGUUCCUUUUUAUAUACGGUUUGCGGCAAAAUAAACAGAACUAAAAUUCGUAUGCCUCAAAUUUGUAUGUGUCACGCACCGAAACGUACUGAGUGGUUUCGAACGACGGUCGUAUAACGUAUGUGAAUGUCGUGAUAAUGUUAGGUGCUUCAGAAUGGUUCUCAGUUUUACAGAAAAAAAAUUAUGAUGGAGUACUAUUUUCGGUCAUACGGAAAAGGUCACGAAAACGGUCCAAACUUAAAAUUAACAUUUGUUUCAGUAGAACGGGACAACCUGUCAUACGGCCAGGGACCCUCUUCUUCGAAUACUGCCCGAUCAUUUUGGGAGUUGCCACUCACCAGAACUAACGCCACCAGAUGCGUACAUAUGAGGAAUGCUGAAGGAGUCACACAGAUUCACCAUCUUCCAUUUCGGAAUUAAGGACUAGAAUUAAAGAUUUUUUCACGGCAGAGGCUGUAGCGGAUCUAAAAAUUUGCCUUAGAAGGGAAAAUUUGCCUUAGGGGGAAAUUCCAAUGAAAACCAACUAAAAGACAAAAAAUAUAAACUCAGAUUUUAACGGUAACUCUUUCAGGGCGACAGACUCAGUAAAACACAGGUUAAAAACAAAGUAAAUAUAUUUAAGACAUUUACCCUAACACACAACAUUCCAGGAAUGUACUACCAAAGUUCUAUCAAUAUUUGAAUGUCCUGGACAUUUAGGGAACAUUCGGUGAACAUCUGAUUAAAUUAUUCGUGGAAUGUUACCAUAAGACAUUCUGUGAACAUACUACCAAUGUUCCUUUUGUUAAUAUGUUCAUUUUCAAACUCACGGCGCAUGUAUUUGUGCAUGGUGCUUAGAGAGGGCAUCACGUGACUAAAAACGACCAAUGACCUCACUUCAGACUUCGGUGCUUCGGCCAUCUUGACAUGCAUCUUGGCCUUGGCCACCUUGCCGUGCGUGAUCGUUGUUUGUUUUUAUUUGUGCUUUUUAAGAAUAUUUUUUAAUUCGGAUACUUUUAUAAUAACUUUAAUAGUAUUAUUAAUAUAGUGCAUAAAAUCAGUUGGAGUAGCAGAAGCAAUGUAGAUAAAAAAUCUGCAGGAAUAAUGUUUCAAAGGUUAGUAUAUGCAAAUAUGUAAACAAAGGCAUGCCCCUAUUUCAGAAAAUAUCCAUUUAUUAUUUUAAUAAUUGCGAAUAAGCCACAAACUUGCUUAUUCCUAACAAAAAUAGUAAAUAGAGAUAAUAACAAACGGAUUAUUUGUAAAAUUAAAAUUUUUUUUGCGUUUUUGCUAAUGUAUGCGUUUAUAAACAGGAUGGUAGACCACACACUAUAAUAGUACCAACUAAUGAAUACACAGUAUGAAUAGUACAGUCGGUUCGCUAAACUUAGUCUCAGACACAACUGGCUAGUGAUUUUAGUAAAUAAUUUUGACAAUUUGGUAAAAUUGGCAAAAAAAUAACUAAAUAGUUAGUAAUUUUGGCAAAAAUGGCCAAAAACAAAAAAAUUACCUACUAAAAUCACUAGCCAGUUGUGGCUAGGGAAACGACUAUACUAAUAAACAAUUUCUAAGCUGCUUUUUAUAAUAUUUUGUGAGUUCAUUAAUCAUAUUUUUUAUUUAAAACUAAAAUUUGUUAAUAAUGCUCAGUAAUGCAUAUAUUUUGUAUUUUUAGCUUUCCAGAAGAUCCUGCGAAGAAGGCAUGAAGUAUUGAUCAGAUUUGUUAAUAGAGCAGUAUGUUCAAAACAUUUUUUAGAAAAAGAUAUUGACAGAACUUCACUUUCAACCGUGAACUUCACUUUCAACCGUUUGAGAGACUGUGCUAUUCCAAUAGCUUAUAUCACACAGAAUCAGCUGAGAGAAAUGGUCUACAAAAAACCAGGAAGGAAAUGGAAUAUGUGACUAUGAAAGGCAAAAGAAAGGUUUACAAAGCAAAUGUGACACAUUUUUUUAUAGGAAUAUCAGUAAAUUACAUUAAAAAAAUGUAUGAAAAAAUUUUUUGCAAUAAAAAUGUUUAUAUUUA